rnacentral:snRNA from 1 species
AUUAUUUUUUCUAAAAAAAUCUGUUCUUAUCAGUUUAAUAUCUAAUACGUCCCCCAUCGGGGGACUACAUAUUAAAUGGAUUUUUCGAACAGGGAGUCGGAAAUGGGGCUUGCUCCGUCCGCUCCACGCAUCGACCCGGUAUUGCAGUACCUCCGGGAACGGUGCAACACUU